UCCUGCAAAAACCACAGUGAAAAUUCUACUCCUGAAAGAAUAUGAUAAGCCCAAAUCAUCCAAUGCAAAAUCAUAGUCCCCAAAAAUCUCAAUCAAAUUCCAAUUUACACAUUUUACUUAUCGCCAAAAUCGCGUUUCCUAGUAGCCUCCUCGAUCACAAUCUCUUCCCAAGCUCCCUCUCGUCUUCUUUCUCUCUCUGUAU
rnacentral:lncRNA from 1 species